GUGCGAAACAGGGCGGCCGCGCCGCUCUGUCUGCCCGGCGUGGUGGCCGGGUACUGAUGAGCAGCCGGAG
rnacentral:hammerhead_ribozyme from 1 species